rnacentral:lncRNA from 11 species
AAUGCUUUUCUUUUCAAAAAAAUGCAAAAGAUGAAAACAUGUAAGUCUAAUCCCUCGGUCCCUCCCUCUCGCGUUGGCGAAGCCGUGGGAAGGACGCAGCGGGCGGAGGAGCAGCGCCUCCUCGGCCGGGGAAGAGAUUCAUUCAAUGCGCGCAGGGAGGCUGGCGCGCCGGCGGGCGGGAGGGCUGCGCCCCCGACUCUCUCCUGAGGCUGUGCUCCCGUGGAGGAGCCGGCGCCUCCUUUCUCGCCCUGAGGAGCUCCGCAGAAAAUUACAUCUCCUCUGGUCUGCCUGGACCCUCAAAAGAGAAGUUUCCUUUGGUCCAACCAUUUUCACAGAUAGAUGAGAAUGUCAAAUAUGGCUUAUUUGGAAUUUGGAACAUCCUCCCUAAAGAAGUGACCCCUUCUGUAUUGUCCUUCCAUCAGCAAACAAAGACUUUUCAUGCAGGUAGGCUUUUAGAAUUGAUGUCUUUUAAAGAAAUAUUACUGAAAUAUUACUUUCUGUGCAGAAGAUAUU